rnacentral:tRNA from 1 species
GCCUGGGUGGCUCAGUCGGUUAAGCAUCCGACUUCAGCUCAGGUCAUGAUCUCGCAGUCCGUGAGUUCAAGCCCCACAUCAGGCU